AGAGUUUGAUCAUGGCUCAGAAUCAACGCUGGCGGCGCGCUUAACACAUGCAAGUCGAACGAGAAAGGGAGCAAUCCUGAGUAAAGUGGCGGACGGCUGAGUAACGCGUAGGAACGUACCCCGAAGUGAGGGAUAAGCACCGGAAACGGUGUCUAAUACCGCAUAUUCUCUAAGGAGCAAAGCAGCAAUGCGCUUUGGGAACGGCCUGCGUCUGAUUAGCUUGUUGGUGAGGUAAAAGCUCACCAAGGCGACGAUCGGUAGCUGGUUUGAGAGGAUGAUCAGCCAGACUGGGACUGAGACACGGCCCAGACUCCUACGGGAGGCAGCAGUAGGGAAUUUUCCACAAUGGGCGAAAGCCUGAUGGAGCAACGCCGCGUGCAGGAUGAAGGCCCUCGGGUCGUAAACUGCUUUUAGUUGUGACGAUUAUGACGGUAGCAGCUGAAUAAGGGUCUGCUAACUACGUG
rnacentral:rRNA from 1 species